UAGGGAAUCUUCCACAAUGGACGCAAGUCUGAUGGAGCAACGCCGCGUGAGUGAAGAAGGUUUUCGGAUCGUAAAGCUCUGUUGUUGGUGAAGAAGGAUAGAGGUAGUAACCGGCCUUUAUUUGACGGUAAUCAACCAGAAAGUCACGGCUAACUACGUGCCAGAG
rnacentral:rRNA from 1 species